rnacentral:rRNA from 1 species
GCAGUCGAACGACCUUCGGGGUUAGUGGCGCACGGGUGCGUAACGCGUGGGAAUCUGCCCUUAGGUACGGAAUAACUCAGGAAACUUGUGCUAAUACCGGAUGAUGUCGAGAGACCAAAGAUUUAUCGCCUAGGGAUGAGCCCGCGUAGGAUUAGCUAGUUGGUGGGGUAAAGGCCUACCAAGGCUACGAUCCUUAGCUGGUCUGAGAGGAUGAUCAGCCACACUGGGACUGAGACACGGCCCAGACUCCUACGGGAGGCAGCAGUGGGGAAUCUUAGACAAUGGGCGCAAGCCUGAUCUAGCCAUGCCGCGUGAUCGAUGAAGGCCUUAGGGUUGUAAAGAUCUUUCAGUGGGGAAGAUAAUGACGGUACCCACAGAAGAAGCCCCGGCUAACUCCGUGCCAGCAGCCGCGGUAAUACGGAGGGGGCUAGCGUUAUUCGGAAUUACUGGGCGUAAAGCGCACGUAGGCGGAUUGGAAAGUCAGAGGUGAAAUCCCAGGGCUCAACCUUGGAACUGCCUUUGAAACUCCCAGUCUUGAGGUCGUGAGAGGUGAGUGGAAUUCCGAGUGUAGAGGUG